rnacentral:lncRNA from 1 species
GACUCUUUUUUCUAUUAUUUUGAUGCAGAAGUAGUAUAACAUCUUUGUUAUAGCAAAUUAAAGAAGACUUGCAUCACCCAUCAUCAUCUCAAGCCCUCUGGCUAAUAAUAAUAAUAAUAAUAUAUACUAAAAUACAUCUAAAUGAAGAAACGUAUACAGUAUAGGAUUCCUCUCACAACACCUUGGAGAUGCUUCAUGGCUUGUGAUGUCCCCCGGUGUUGCACAGCAUGGACCCGAGAGCAUGAUAGUUGACGUACCGGCUUGGGGCCGAGGGGGGUGGCCGGAAACCCCUUGGCUUGCAACCCCUGAUGACCUCCCUGCUGCGAAAGAAUCGAUGCUUGUCAUGGGGUCGAGUUUGCAGCGUGACAUACUCCCCAUGCUUUGGAUUCAGUGGCCUCAUCGUGGUUGCAACCCACGCCGAGGAAUUUCCGGUGACUCCGAGCCCCAGAGGAGACAGUAGUAUUAGGAAGAGAAAGGCCAUGGUGAGAAGAGUAGACAUUUGAGGCAGCACUGGUGGCUCGUAGUGCCUCUUUGUUUUGUAGUGCAGGGAGGGAGGU